UGAUAACCUUGGCUGGUUAUUACAGCAACAGC
rnacentral:piRNA from 1 species